GUGGGGAAUCUUGCGCAAUGGGCGAAAGCCUGACGCAGCCAUGCCGCGUGAAUGAUGAAGGUCUUAGGAUUGUAAAAUUCUUUCACCGGGGACGAUAAUGACGGUACCCGGAGAAGAAGCUCCGGCUAACUUCGUGCCAGCAGCCGCGGUAAUACGAAGGGGGCUAGCGUUGCUCGGAAUUACUGGGCGUAAAGGGCGCGUAGGCGGACAGCUUAGUCAGAGGUGAAAGCCCAGGGCUCAACCUUGGAAUUGCCUUUGAUACUGGCUGUCUUGAGUGUGGGAGAGGUGAGUGGAACUCCGAGUGUAGAGGUGAAAUUCGUAGAUAUUCGGAAGAACACCAGUGGCGAAGGCGACUCACUGGCCCAAUACUGACGCUGAGGCGCGAAAGCGUGGGGAGCAAACAGGAUUAGAAACCCGUGUAGUCC
rnacentral:rRNA from 1 species